rnacentral:rRNA from 1 species
AGUGAACGCUGGCGGUAGGCCUAACACAUGCAAGUCGAACGGCAGCACAGUAAGAGCUUGCUCUUACGGGUGGCGAGUGGCGGACGGGUGAGGAAUACAUCGGAAUCUACUUUUUCGUGGGGGAUAACGUAGGGAAACUUACGCUAAUACCGCAUACGACCUACGGGUGAAAGCAGGGGAUCUUCGGACCUUGCGCGAUUGAAUGAGCCGAUGUCGGAUUAGCUAGUUGGCGGGGUAAAGGCCCACCAAGGCGACGAUCCGUAGCUGGUCUGAGAGGAUGAUCAGCCACACUGGAACUGAGACACGGUCCAGGCUCCCACGGGAGGCAGCAGUGGGGAAUAUUGGACAAUGGGCGCAAGCCUGAUCCAGCCAUACCGCGUGGGUGAAGAAGGCCUUCGGGUUGUAAAGCCCUUUUGUUGGGAAAGAAAAGCAGCAGGUUAAUACCCCGCUGUUCUGACGGUACCCAAAGAAUAAGCACCGGCUAACUUCGUG